CACGUAGUUAGCCGGGGCUUCUUCUUCAGGUACCGUCAUUUUCUUCCCUGCUGACAGGGCUUUACGCGCCGAGGCGCUUCUUCACCCACGCGGCGUCGCUGCAUCAGGGCUCCCCCCAUUGUGCAAUAUCCCCCACUGCUGCCUCCCGUAGGAGUCGGGGCCGUGUCUCAGUCCCAGUGUGGCCGUCCGCCCUCUCAGGCCGGCUACUGAUCGUCGCUUUGGUAGGCCGUUACCCUGCCCAACUGGCUAAUCAGACGCGGGCCCAUCCUGUACCACCGGAGUUUUCAGGGAAAAGCCAUGCGGCUUCCCCCGUUAUGCGGUAUUAGCACCUAUUUCUAAGUGUUAUCCCCCUGUACAGGCCAGGUUGCCCACGCGUUACUCACCCGUCCGCCACUCAUGCACAGGUUUUCCGGCCGAAGCCUUCCUUCCCGUACACCCGUUCGACUUGCAUGUGUUAGGCACGCCGCCAGCGUUCAUCCUGAGCCAGGAUCAAACUCU
rnacentral:rRNA from 1 species